rnacentral:rRNA from 1 species
CCCGUCACGCCAUGGAAGCUGUGAGUGCCCGAAGUCGGUGCCGCAACCGCAAGGAGCAAGCCGCCGAAGGCAAGCGCAGUGACUGGGGCGAAGUCGUAACAAGGUACCC